UUCUUACUUGUCUGAGCCUGGAUUUUCUCAGCCACACGGCUCAGAGGGCUGUCCACAGCAGGACACUGGAUUCAAGUCCUGCCUGCCACCAGGCAGUUCUGGGGUGGUCUGCCCAGUAUCUCCCGUCUCCCCCUUCCAGCUGCGGGAUCAGCCUGGGUCCCCGUGUGAGCCCAGGGCCAAGUGUCUGCGACGUGGAAUGCCGGGCAGUGAGGCUGGAAGGACACGUUCGUCGUCUCCUGGGAGGAGGCCCAGCAGUCCUGCAUCCUGGCCAGCUGCGACAGUAGUGGAGCAACUGCAGCCACCAUUGCCUCGCUGACAGGCUGAAGGGAGAUUCCUGAGGCCUUCUUCCUCCUGGGCUUGCCAGGCUGAGGCGAAAGGUCCUUACCUUCAUCCUGUUGCAAAGACCCUGCUUCCAAAUAAGGCCCCACCCUCGGCCCUGGUGGACGUGUGUUCUGGGACACUGCUCAGCCCACUCCAACUCCACACGGAGGAUGCCAGCUC